GUUUCUAUGUGUAGAAUGGUAGCAUGCAAGGUUCCCAUCCUUGCGACCCGGGUUCGAAUCCCGGCGGGCGCA
rnacentral:tRNA from 1 species